AGAGGCUCAGGGCUAGCUUCACCUCCUGCCCUUUAUUCUCCCCUUGGCCCUUCUACAGGGUCUCUGGGUGUGAAAUGAAUAGGAACCUCCUUCCCAGCUGUCUUCCAGGCCCUGGGAUCUGUCACAGCCUCUCAGACGGGAGCAGCCCGCAGCUGAGCCACCUCUGGGAGCAGUGGGGAUGGGUCACCUCGUCCCAUCAAAGCAAGCAAUGCUGGGUCUCAAAGAGGCUUAGGUGGAAGACCCCACUCCCUCAUGGAGUUUGGGAUGAGCGCAAUCCAGGAAGGAGUGGACUAAAAGAUGGUCACCUGGCUGAAGGGCUGAGUUCCCAGCCAAAAAACUGCCAGAGUGCCCUAGCAACUAUCGGUGGGGGUGCUAGCCCAGCAAGAAAGCUGUGACACCUUUCCAAGAAAGGAUCCUAUCGGUAGAAGGCAUGAGUGUGAUGUACAUUGAAGGCGUAAAGUCUCUCUUCUUCAGAAGCAUGCAAUUUCAGAAGAAACACAGAUUGAAGAAAUUGAAGGAAAGCUCUGGACACUGGAGGUUCUAACCCAGGCCACCUGGCAGUAAGAAGGAACCGGAGAAGCAGUCAGUUCGUUCCACCCUUUAUACCUUCGUUGGAAGCAUAAGAAAGGCAAGGAGGCACG